rnacentral:tRNA from 1 species
UCCCUGGUGGUCCAGUGGGUAAGACUCUGUGCUUCCAAAGCAGGAAGUUUGGUUUUGAUUCCUGACUGGGGAA